rnacentral:rRNA from 1 species
AGGACGAACGCUGGCGGCGUGCUUAACACAUGCAAGUGGAGCGACGAACCAGGGCUUGCCCUGGGGCAGAGCCGCGAACGGGUGAGUAACACGUGGGUUACCUGCCUCGAUGACCGGGACAACCCGGGGAAACUCGGGCUAAUACCGGAUGUGCCCGCAAGGGGAAAGGAAGCUUCGGCCUCCGCAUCGAGAUGGGCCCGCGGCCCAUUAGCUUGUUGGUGAGGUAACGGCUCACCAAGGCUUCGAUGGGUAGCUGGUCUGAGAGGACGAUCAGCCACACUGGGACUGAGACACGGCCCAGACUCCUACGGGAGGCAGCAGUGGGGAAUCUUGCGCAAUGCGCGAAAGCGUGACGCAGCAACGCCGCGUGGGGGAAGAAGGCUUUCGGGUUGUAAACCCCUUUCAGUUGGGACGAAGCUUCUCCGGUGAACAGCCGGACGGAGUGACGGUACCUUCAUAAGAAGCACCGGCUAACUACGUGCCAGCAGCCGC